rnacentral:rRNA from 1 species
CGAACGCUGGCGGCGUGCUUAACACAUGCAAGUCGAGCGAGGUCCAUCCAGUGGCAACACUGGGGAAGACCUAGCGGCGAACGGGUGAGUAACACGUGAGCAACCUGCCCCGAAGACUGGGAUAACACCGGGAAACCGGUGCUAAUACCGGAUGUCCUCCUCUGGUCGCAUGGCCUAAGGAGGAAAGGAAUUUUGCUUCGGGAGGGGCUCGCGGGCUAUCAGCUUGUUGGUGAGGUAACGGCUCACCAAGGCGACGACGGCUAGCUGGUCUGAGAGGACGACCAGCCACACUGGGACUGAGACACGGCCCAGACUCCUACGGGAGGCAGCAGUGGGGAAUCUUGCGCAAUGGGCGAAAGCCUGACGCAGCAACGCCGCGUGGGGGAUGAAUGCCUUCGGGUUGUAAACCCCUUUCAGCAGGGACGAAAAUGACGGUACCUGCAGAAGAAGCCCCGGCCAACUACGUGCCAGCAGCCGCGGUAAUACGUAGGGGGCGAGCGUUGUCCGGAUUUAUUGGGCGUAAAGAGCUCGUAGGCGGCUUGGCAAGUCGGGUGUGAAACCUCCAGGCUCAACCUGGAGACGCCACUCGAUACUGCUAUGGCUAGAGUCCGGUAGGGGACCACGGAAUUCCUGGUGUAGCGGUGAAAUGCGCAGAUAUCAGGAGGAACACCGGUGGCGAAGGCGGUGGUCUGGACAUGCACUGACGCUGAGGAGCGAAAGC